GUGUAUGUAUUUGAGAGAAGAGUUUCAUUCAACACUUGGUGGGAAGGCACGGAUUUCAUUGUAGAAAUAAUUUCUUUUCUUUCUUUAGAUGAAGUCACGUCCUGGAAUGGAUAGCAAUUUAAGAGCAAUUUAAUUUUCAAUUAGAGAGCUGGAAGUGCACGGCCUAGUUAGGUGCAAACAGCGGCAUUUUCAUUUUCUUUUAGAAAAUCACAUUUCUUUUCUUUAGAAGCAUUCAUUUUUCUUUUAUCCUAGGUCCACACCGCUGCAUUCACUUUUCUUUUGGAGAAAGUCACGGUGAUUUAUUUUCUUAUGCUGAAGGGAGAGCUUGGUUGCUUUCUUUUCUUUUCUUUUUUUUUUAUUAUGUGGUUUGCUUUAACAAAUUUGGGUGCAACAGCUCCUGUGAAAGGGUAUUUGGAGCAUACGUUGAUUCACAUCUCCAUUUUGUACACACAUGGAAGCAUUUUCAUUCGCUGUUAGUUACUUGGGAGAAGCACAUUCAUUUAAUUUCCAAUUGGAAGUGGAACG
rnacentral:lncRNA from 1 species